rnacentral:ncRNA from 1 species
GGUCUGAACCGAGCCUUUACCGAAAGUUUUUUCGCCUAAGAUAACGGCGCGUUUGUGGUCUUGCAAAGCACCGGCAACAAUUUCGGAAGCUGAGGCGGAACCGUCAUUGACCAGAACGACAAUCGGCAGCCCUUUGGCAAUAUCGCCUGAUUUAGCAUUAUAUUUAACCGUAUCUUCGGCAUUUUUGGAACGGGUCGAGACAAUCUCGCCUUUGUCAAGGAACAGGUCGGAAACAUUGACCGCCUGGUCUAACAAACCGCCGGGAUUGUUGCG